rnacentral:misc_RNA from 1 species
CUUGNGCGAGAGUAGUACUAGGAUGGGUGACCCCCUGGGAAGUCCUCGUGUUGCACCCCCCYCUCCUUUUUGCAUCUGUUUGGGGGAAGGAAACGCGCGUACGAGAGAACGUGGCUUAAUAAACGCGCACGCGNUACGCAUAACUCACAACGCGCGGCACCGACACGUGGGAAUGUAGGCACAAAAUCGGACAAUCCUAACGGUUGGGAAUAUAGGAGUAAAAAGGGA